rnacentral:ncRNA from 1 species
UGUACCCUUGUUAGACAGAAAUAUAAGUGAUCUUUCCGGUUAACCUCCCACCACCCAGCCACCCGGUGUUGGACUGAGUCCCGCAGUGGGGCGCAGUAAAUGCAGCCUAUGAAAGACUCACCCCCCUCUCUGGUGUUACCUGUCAGGGGCUUACGUCCCUCUGAUGAGGCCCAACCCGUGGAUGGUGCAAGGCCGGCAGCGGCCCCAGCACAUGGGGCCUGGGUCUUCCUAGAGCCGGGCUGCCUGGGAAUGUAGUUUAAAGUAGGUGGUAAACUCUAUCUAAGGUUAAAAAGCACCAUAAGGGAAAGUUGAAAAGAACCUUGAAGAAAGAAUUCUGAGGGCUAGUUGGAGGGGAGGAGUUAGGAGAUGAGUUUAGAUUGGUUGAUGGAGAAGUAGGAGGGAGAGAGGGUGGAGGUAACUGGGCCUUUCAGGACCUGUGGUUGCAUUCCUACACAGCAGGGGGUUAUCGGUUGGGUUGAAUAAGCUUUGUUUAUGGACAUAGAGAGUAGACAAGUUUUUUGUUAUAAGAAUUUUGGAAUUACUUGAAUAUAAAUUAGGUUUGGUUUUAAGAUAUGAGAAGUUCUGAAUAUAGAAGACCUCGCUCUAUUUGUUAAGGUGCUCACAAUAGUUAUAUAAGUUUC